UACGUAGGGUGCAAGCGUUAAUCGGAAUUACUGGGCGUAAAGCGUGCGCAGGCGGUUUUGUAAGUCUGAUGUGAAAUCCCCAGGCUCAACCUGGGAACUGCGUCUGAUACUGGCGGGCUAGAGACCGGAAGAGGCGAGUGGAAUUCCUGGUGUAGCGGUGAAAUGCGCAGAUAUCAGGAGGAACACCAAUGGCGAAGGCAGCUCGCUGGGACGUGACUGACGCUGAGACGCGAAAGCGUGGGGAGCAAACAGG
rnacentral:rRNA from 1 species